rnacentral:rRNA from 1 species
GGGGAAUAUUGCGCAAUGGGGGAAACCCUGACGCAGCAACGCCGCGUGCGGGAUGAAGGCCUUCGGGUUGUAAACCGCUUUCAGCAGGAACGUAGGGUUUCUGACGGUACCUGCAGAAGAAGCACCGGCUAACUACGUGCCAGCAGCCGCGGUAAUACGUAGGUGGCGAGCGUUGUCCGGAAUUACUGGGCGUAAAGGGCGCGUAGGCGGCUCUUUAAGUUAGAUGUGAAAACCCAGGGCUCAACCCUGGGAGUGCAUUUAAAACUGAAGGGCUCGAGUGCAGGAGAGGUAAGUGGAAUUCCUAGGGUAGCGGUGAAAUGCGUAGAUAUUAGGAGGAACACCAGUGGCGAAGGCGACUUACUGGACUGUAACUGACGCUGAGGCGCGAAAGCGUGGGGAGCAAACA